GACAGAGGCCUCAAGCGUUAGGCGGAAUCACUGGGCUUAAAGCGUGUGUAGGCGGAUCGUUAAGUACCUUGUGAAAUCCCACGGCUCAACCGUGGAACUGCUCGGUAUACUGGCGAUCUUGAGCUGUCUAGGGGCUACCGGAACAAAUGGUGGAGCGGUGAAAUGCGUAGAUAUCAUUUGGAACGCCAAUGGUGAAAACAGGUAGCUGGGGACAUGCUGACGCUGAGACACGAAAGCCAGGGGAGCAAACGGG
rnacentral:rRNA from 1 species